AACGAACGCUGGCGGCGUGCUUAACACAUGCCAGUCGAACGGAAAGGCCCUGCUUUUGUGGGGUGCUCGAGUGGCGAACGGGUGAGUAACACGUGAGUAACCUGCCCUUGACUUUGGGAUAACUUCAGGAAACUGGGGCUAAUACCGGAUAGGAGCUCCUGCUGCAUGGUGGGGGUUGGAAAGUUUCGGCGGUUGGGGAUGGACGCGCGGCUUAUCAGCUUGUUGGUGGGGUAGUGGCUUACCAAGGCUUUGACGGGUAGCCGGCCUGAGAGGGUGACCGGCCACAUUGGGACUGAGAGACGGCCCAGACUCCUACGGGAGGCAGCAGUGGGGAAUAUUGUACAAUGGGCGGAAGCCUGAUGCAGCAACGCCGCGUGCGGGAUGACGGCCUUCGGGUUGUAAACCGCUUUCGCCUGUGACGAAGCGUGAGUGACGGUAAUGGGUAAAGAAGCACCGGCUAACUACGUG
rnacentral:rRNA from 1 species